UACGUAGGGGGGCAAGCGUUGUCCGGAAUCAUUGGGCGUAAAGCGCGUGUAGGCGGCCCGGUAAGUCCGCUGUGAAAGUCGGGGGCUCAACCCUCGAAUGCCGGUGGAUACUGUCGGGCUAGAGUGCGGGAGAGGCGAGUGGAAUUCCUGGUGUAGCGGUGAAAUGCGCAGAUAUCAGGAGGAACACCAAUUGCGAAGGCAGCUCGCUGGAACGUAACUGACGCUGAGAACGCGAAAGCGUGGGGAGCAACAGG
rnacentral:rRNA from 1 species